GACGAACGCUGGCGGCGUGCCUAAUACAUGCAAGUCGAACGCAGUUGGGACGGGUGAGGAACACGUGGGUAACCUCCCAUCAGAGGGGAUAACACUUGGAAACAGGUGCUAAACCGAUACUGAUGGAUGGACCCGCGGUGCAUUAGCUAGUUGGUGAGGUAACGGCUCACCAAGGCCACGAUGCAUAGCCGACCUGAGAGGUGGAUCGGCAACAUGGGAACUGAGACACGGCCCAGACUCCUACGGGAGGCAGCAGUAGGAAACCUUCGGCAAUGGACGAAAGUCUGACCGAGCAACGCCGCGUGAGGGAAGAAGGUUUUCGGUUCGUAAAACUCUGUUUUUAGAGAAGCGGUAUCUAACCAGAAAGCCACGGCUAACUACGUGCCAGCAGCCGCGGUAAUAC
rnacentral:rRNA from 1 species